rnacentral:lncRNA from 1 species
AUGUCCAGAAGUUCAAAGUUGGUGAUAAAGUUGGUGUUGGCUACAUGGUCGGCUCUUGUGGUUCUUGUGAAAGUUGCAGUGAGGAAUAUGAAAACCAUUGCUUCAAAAUGAUAACAACAUCCAAUGGUGUCUACCAUGAUGGGGCAACAACCUAUGGAGGAUUCUCAGAUAUGAUAGUUGUCAAUGAGCAUUUUGCAGUACAUAUUCCUGAUAACCUGCCCCUGGAAAAAACUGCACCAUUGUUGUGUGCCGGAGUUACAGUAUAUAGCCCAAUGAAACACUUUGGUCUCAAUGAGCCUGGAAAGCACUUAGGAGUCGUAGGGCUUGGUGGGCUUGGCCAUGUCGCUGUGAAGUUUGGCAAGGCUUAUGGUAUGAAAGUUACGGUGAUUAGCACAUCGCGGAACAAGGAACAGGAAGCAAUCCAGCACUUAGGAGCUGACUCAUUUUUGGUGAGCAGUGAUCCUGACCAAAUGAAGGUAAAAUGCAUUAUAAACACAGGAAUAAAUUGGAUAGAUAAGUAUCUUCUUUUAGUUACAAACUUACAAAUUUUUUCUUAUGGUUUUUGGGUGGCAUAGGCUGCCACUGGCACUAUGGACGGCAUCAUUGAUACAGUCUCUGCCUUUCACCCAAUUGCACCCUUGCUCUUCCUGUUGAAGGCUCGUGGAAGGAUGAUCCUGGUGGGAGCACCAAACAAGCCACUGGAGCUACCAUCCUUCUGCUUAAUCCAGGGUAUGCGUCUAUUAUCCUUUUACAGAACAGCUUCUAAAGUACUUUUUUGUGGCCUGGAUCAGAUGGUUUGCAGAUAUCUUUCUCUUGAUAUUGUCAGGAGGGAGGAUGUUGGCUGGAGGUAGUGUUGGUGGAAUGAAGGAUACCCAAGAAAUGAUAGAUUUUGCCGGGAAGCACAACAUAACUGCAGAAGUUGAGGUUGUCGGAAUGGACUAUGUCAACAC